rnacentral:rRNA from 1 species
UACGUAGGGGGCUAGCGUUAUCCGGAAUCACUGGGCGUAAAGCGUCUGUAGGUGGUUUAAAAAGUCUACUGUUAAAAAUUGAAGCUUAACUUCAAAGAUGCCGUAGAAACUUUUAAACUCGAGGAUGGUAGGGGUAGAGGGAAUUUCCAGUGGAGCGGUGAAAUGCGUAGAUCUUGGAAAGACCACCAAUGGCGAAGGCACUCUACUGGGCCAUUACUGACACUAAGAGACGAAAGCUAGGGGAGCAAAUGGG